GCCAGGGUCUGGUCACAUUCAGUCACAUUUAAUCCAUUAGCUAAGGGGAGGGGGUGUCCUGGCUUCCAGGAGCUCAGAGUCUUCUGCAAGACAACAGAUGUGUGCGUUAAGGUCUUCAGGAAAGCGACACACGCAGCCAUGGCCUCCUGUGACAACAGCACCUCCUCUGGCUCUCUCCUGAAGGCCUGCCUGAGGCUGUUCCACAGUUAACUUGGCCUUUUAAAGAUGCCGUUCCCAGUCCUGCUAGGGGCCACUGUGUCUGGCAUACCUGUGGACCUCCCAGACCCACCUCCGCAUGUAUGAUGCACAGUCAAAGUGUAAUCAUACCGGCAGGAGUGAAGAUGCACUAAGGAAACACGUGGCCUCCUUUUUGUUACCAGACUGUCGAGACCAUGGCCCCCAGGAAAUUACAAUUCCCGAAGGAAUCUCACGCAGGGAGAAACAAGAGGCUGAAUCCUGAUGCCAGCCAGAGGCAAAGCCUGUCUCCAGGAAAGAGGUUUCGUACAGUUUCGGUACAGUUUCGGAAGCUCGUUUGGCCACCUUGAAGAAGAGACUGGAGCCCAUCAUUGGUGGGCCAGUGAUAGAUAGGGCUGUACCCCACCAGGAGCGCCUACUGGAUAAAUAAUUUUCCAAAUGACUCGCCUUUCUCUUUGCUUCACUAUUACUUUGUCUGUUGAAUUGGCCUAUUGCGCAUGGGUGGCCCAAGCUCUGGCCCUAACAAAAUAACCCCGAGUCUUCCAGGUCCAGCCCUCCCAAGUCCGCUUUCCUGCAUCUGGGUCAUCAUUAGUCCCUCCCUCUUCUCUGUGCCCACACUAUUUGUGGAACUUCAGUGUAGCCCUGACUCAUCUGCAUGUGUCUUCUCUCCAGCUGGUGGGCCCUGCCUCCUUGUGGGGGCUGUUUGCUGAGCCAGACUGAGACAGCAAGUAUCUGUGAGGUGCCAGGCGCAGGGCUAGGUAUGGGCUUCCUCAUACGCCUCCACUGAUGGGGAUA